UUUUCAGUGUUCUUCUGUUUUAGGGAGCAUUAAGGGUUAGGAUGAAAGACUGGUUCCCUGCACUGCCCCACAGAUCUUUUCAGUGUCCUUGCUUAGAAAAUCCAAUAUUCCUCUAUCUGUGCCCUGACAUGCUGACGCCUCCUUUUGGGUUAUCUGCAGGUCAUGGGAACCAUAACGUAUAUUUAAAACCCACCAGGUCUGCUGAAAAGCUCAGGGUAAGGAGUUAGCCAAGGGAAAUUGUCACAGUCCCCUAAUCUCCACUUACAAUGUUGAUUUGAGCUACUAUUUCCACUGCUCCAGAAGUGCAAUUGUCAGUGUGGUACCAGGUCAUGGUAUUUAUAUCGCAUGCCACACACUUCACGUGUCGUGGAAACAGGCUACAACAUCUACUCACAAGCCUCCUUCCAUUUCUUUUUUUUUUUUUUUUUCCUCCUCUCCCUGGUUUCCCUUGACUUCUUUUAGCUCAGAAUGGUUUUAAAUAGCAACAUCCUCAGCAGAGCAAAUUGCCUUGCCAUGAUAAACUGUUCCAGAGGUCAAAGAAGGAGCUUGCAAAUUCAAUGGUCAUAUUUUUUUUGCAGGGAAUGUUUCAGGCCAAAGUCAUGGGCAUGCAUUUGUGGACAGACUGACCACAUCUAAUUUGGGAAAUUCAUUCUAUGAAGAGUAUGAGGAAGCAUAUGUUAUUGCAAACCAUGAAUGGAGAGGCUGUGACUUCUCAGGGAAAAGAAAAAAAAAAAAAAGAAAUCAGAUUUUUAUCAGGCAUCUUGCCAGACUUCUGUCAUCACCAGGAAAAUGGUUCCUUCAGCAGACACAUCUGGGCAACUUCACGCCCAUUCCUGAUGUAAGCUGUCAAAUCCUGUCCCAGAUAGCAACAAGAAUGGAUCACCAUUCCUAGAGGAAAAACAGUAAGAUUUACUUUUGCUUAAUUGGAAAGUGGGUGUAUUAGGAGAACAGAUAAUUUCUCAGAGACAACAUCUUCAAUGGCCUCUCUAUUUGUAAGCACUGCACUCUCUUCCUUUUUCUCCCACUUCCUAUCAUGUACUCCCUUUUCCUGUUUUGCUCAUCGA
rnacentral:lncRNA from 1 species